GAGGCUUUAGCUUAAUUAAAGCGUCUGUUUUGCAUGCAGAAGAUGUGGGUUAAAUCCCUGUAAGUUUCA
rnacentral:tRNA from 1 species